rnacentral:lncRNA from 10 species
AAAUUCUGGUGAUGCCAUCUUGGAGGCUGGAACCCAAGGCUGCUGCCAUCCAGGGCUGUGUGCUUUGCGGCAAAGCAAGUUCCCUGCUGGGCCCAGAGAGAUUCCCACUGCCGUGGAGCAAGGGCCUGGCCGAUUCCCUUCCCACUCAGAGUGUGCAGACCUAGGAGCCUCGCAAGUCUGAUGCGGGAGAUGGUUGGCUAACUGAGGGGUCUCACUGAGGGCUGGGGCCUCCAUGUCUCCUGCAGCCCCUAGAAUAGAGUUUAACCCACCAGCCUCCCCUAGAUGAACCAAGUGGGCAGACAGACUUACGGCUUCAAAGAGACACCUGAAGAACUUGAUCUCCUGGUCCAUGGAUUCCACCUUGGCCUGCAGUUCCACCUUAUUGGCGGCAGCGUUGAGCAAGGAGCAGCGUGUCCAUCAGAAGAUACAGGUGCUGGGGGCCGCAGAGUACUGGGCAGGGAGCUGAAAGAGGUGGGCAAAUCAUUACCCUCUGCUAUGGAGAGAAAACUGAGACACAGAGCAACUUCGGCUGUUUCCAAGGCCCAACAGUUUAAGAAGCGGUGGAGCCCGGAACUGAAUCUAGACACAUGUCCCUGUAACCCGUGCAUGCAAUCACCCAGCACCCUCCAUGGUUGCACCAACUCAGGGCUUGGCUGUGAUUGAAAAUACCAGCAGAGAAGCCAGGAUGGGUCCACCAUUUUGGACAGGUUGACCAUCCUGAAGAAAAGUCUGCUCUUCAUUUCAGGGCAUGUCAGAGCUCAGUAAGGCUUGGGCCAAGGGCUUCUAGGUAUUUUAAAUGCCUGGAGCAGGCACCAGCUUCAUCUUUGCUUAUAGCCCCUCCUCUCCCUCCUUGGUCCUGCUCCCCAGAACCAUCUUCUCUGCAACAAGCAUGGCACAUGGAACAUGAUGGACAGAUGGAGCUCCUGAUCCCAUUGUAGCCCCUCACUGAGGCAGGAAACUGGCCAGAAGGAGAUGUCCAUACACACCUCUUGUUUGGUUUUUGGGGAUGGGGAGCACAGUUUUUAAAAUGUGACUUCCCUUAAUCUACAUGAGCACAGCUACUGCUUGAAUAAGGUUGUCUUCCCCAACAUCAGAAACACAAGACAUGGGAAAACUAUCUAAGAUUCAGUGUCAAGAUAGAAUUAUUCCCCGAAAAUUUGUCUCUAGCCCGUCUUCCAGCAUUUGGUCUGGUUUAACCAAUCCUGAAUUUUUCAUGUGAUCUACGAGGCUGAGCAUUAACCACAGAGUAAAUCCUGCAUCUGAGACACCACAAUACACACCUGCACUACUGAACACAUCUGGAUGCCGAAAGGAUUUACCCGUCUUCUCUGGCUGCCUGAGGUUAAGGGACUGAUCUCUGGAGACUGAAAUUAUUUGGGAACUGUCCAAGCCUUUCAGCCUCCUUCCCCUCCCUCUGGGCAGACCAUCUUUAUAAACAGGAUGUGACCCUCCUCAUGUUCAUCUUUCUUCCCAUGUCUCCAGACUUUAUCCUUCUGUAGGUUUUGACCAGCCGAGCCAAGAAUCAAUCAGUCCACUCCCAUCACCCAGACCCCAUCUCAGAACACUUUGAUCUUGCAGAUAUGAAAAGGCUUAGAAGAAUAAGAAGCCGCAGAGCCAGUCCUAGCCCCUGAGGCUGAGCCGAGGGCAGCAGGGACUCCUCCAGGCAGGAAGUCUGAGCUGCAGGAGCUGGCUAAGCUCUGAUGGCCACAUGACCGUCUCACCCAUAGACUUUGUCCUGGGUUGACCCGUCCUUGGUGCCUGACUGCCACAGAGCCAACAGAACCCUCCAGUCUCCUCCUCUGGGUCUGGAGGCAAAAGGCUGAGGGUCCAGCCUCACCCUUCCCUUUCCCCAAAUGACCCUGGGAAUGCCAUUUACCUCCAUGCCUUCAGUGACUCAUACGAUAGGGAUAAUCAUUUCUUCUCUGCCAGAAGUCAGGGGCCUAUCUGGACUGUGUCAUCUCUUCAGGUCUCUAGACACCUUUGAUUCCUCCCCUGAGCUUCCCUCCCCCACAUUCCAGAGAUAAGAAAUGAGAGUCACAAUCACAAUCAUUUUUGGAGUAUUUAGUGUGCGUCAGGCUUGUGACAAGAUCUUCACCUGCAUUUUCUUUUAUAAGCCUGACAACAACCCCAAGACAGAAGUUAUUAUCUCCAUUUUAGAGAUGAGGAGAUGGCAACACAGACAGGCAGAUCACCUUCCCAGAGCCACUCAGCUGUGGCCAGCAGUGAGCACAAGAGCACCGUGGAGUCCCCUUCCCCAGUGCCCUCUUCUGCCUCUCAAGAAAGUCUUCAACUGACUGGAGCAAAUGCCCAAUCAGAGGGCCUGAAGCGGCCCCUUCCUGCUGCUCCUGAUCCGCUGGGCAAGUGACCAGUGGGCAGGGCAGCAUGCCAGGGGAGGAGGACAGCUUCCCUGCUUACUCUGGGCGAGACUGGCUCUCACAGGCCUUUUCUGCACACGGCCUGCAGGCCUAGCAAUGGCACCAAGCUAGCCCUCAAGAGGAAGGACCACAUCUCUUGCUGGGAGCCCUGAGAAGCCUCUGCCAGUAGAAAUUGACCUGCCUCUGUUUUCUCUCUGGAAAGACAACACAGAGAACCUUACACAGGUCACCCUGUUGAUGGGAUGUACCUACCUUGUCCACAGUAAAGUCUUCCUCACAUCUAACCUCAAUCUCUCCUGCUGUAACAAAAUCGUAUGUUCCAAGAAGAGAAGAGGAGGGCUGUUCACAAGUUCCCCAGGCCCUAGAAGACCCACCUUGUCGAUGAAGGAGGCGAACUUGUUGUUCAGAGCCUUGAUCUGCUCUCGCUCCUGGGCACGCACUUUCUGGAUCUCGGGGUCCAGCUCCACG